AACAGAUGUGUGGCAGACUUGCGUUUCAGGAGCUGCUACCGACAAACCAGCAAAAAAACGCCAAAUGUGUCACCUGUGACACUUGUGAGGUUAUCUCAAACACACUCCGUCAGUCUUGAUGCUGUUGAACAACAAAAUGUU